UUUGCCUCACUCAAAGAACUGAAAAUGUCUCAUGAAAAUCUGAGCUUCUCUUUGCAUUCAACUAAAUUUAGAAAAAAGAGAGAUGUCAACAUCAAAUUAUCAAAUGAGAUACCGUUAACAGUAGUUGCCUAAGAUGACAGCAAAUUAAGUCCAUAAAUAAAGAAGGAAAAAGCAUAAUAAAGAUAAUUCAUUGUAGAUAUGAACUUUUGUUAUAACACACAUUUUUAUGCUUGUUUACACUUAUUUGUAUUUCUCUUCAUAUAUAUUAAUCUUUCCCCCACCUCCCCACUAGACCUGAUGUUAGUACUUUAAGGCCAUAGCAGGCUUUUCUUUAAUAUUUAGAAAAAAAGGUCUAAGAAUAUCUUCUCAGUUAACUGGAAAAAUAUACACAAUAUCCUGGGACAGGUCUUUUCCUCCUGAUUGGCUGAA
rnacentral:lncRNA from 1 species